rfam:Oryza punctata chromosome 1, whole genome shotgun sequence.
AUGCAAUACAUGUUGAACGACGUAGAAGGGAUUGGUAGAUAAGCUCAAGCUCGAUUCAUCGGGACCGACAAAUUUACAUCGUGUAUCCAUGUCAUUUCUUAACUAUCUUCUCAUAAUAAUGUUUAAUGGUUUUUAUUUUCAAUACUACUUUUUUUUGGGGGGGGUUAUAUUUCUAACCAAGAAAUUGACUUCGUAUGGGUAUUUUGCCGGCAGCUAUUACCAAGGCAAUGAUCAGUAGCCGGUCCGAGAGGAUGAUCAGCCACACUGGGACUGAGACACGGCCCAGACUCCUACGGGAGGCAGCAGUGGGGAAUUUUCCGCAAUGGGUGAAAGCCUGAUGGAGCAAU